rnacentral:lncRNA from 1 species
GAAAGAAACCUUCAAGAAUUUCAACAGGGAAAAAUAAACCAGAUGUUUUAACAGGUUACAAGGUGACAACGUGAAUCUUGGAUGUCACGUGUUGACAGCAAAUGGAUACCACAUUCAGGUUCCUAGCCACAAUAGCAAAGCUCCUGAACAGAAAAGACAGUGAUGCAGCCUGGCAGGCUACAACAUCUGUAUCUGACUCGAUCUCAUCGGAGAAUAUCAGCCCCAGAAAUAGGACCUUAGGAACAAGAUCACUCCCACCACUGCUACAGAUUUGUCCUCAAGAUAAAAUCCAUCAGGUGUCUUUUCCAAUUCUUCUCUACUACGUUCUGUCACGCUGCCUGUCAGGAAAGCCAACAGAGUGAUAGGUAAAGGUGCUGGUAAGUAAAACUCUCUUUUGCUCUGAUAACUAUUUGACUAUACAGAGGCCCUGCAACCCUUGCAGGUACAGACAUGCUGCUUAGAAAGGAGUUCUGUUGGCUGCCCCACAAGUCUAUGACAAGCUAUUGAGGAGGAAUGUUAGCAAUAUGUGCUCUGUCAGUUUAAUUUCUGGCCCCUAUAAAUGUAAUAUUUACUUUUGAGGAGCAGUUUCCCAGUGAUUGACUUAAUAGGGCUAUCAUGUGCUGUCCAACUCAGAUUUUGGGGCUGAUGACUCAGAGUUGUCACUGCCUUGACUAGGACUGGAGCAAUGACUCCUAGCUGCCUUUUCCAGAAUCCCUUCUGCACUGUUUACCAGCAUUGGGUGAAUCACGUCCUAAAGCAGCUUUUAAGGAGGAAUGGAAGAAUUUCCUGAGAUUUAUAUCUUGAAGUAAUAGCUCCUAUAUCUACUCCAGAGCUAACUAGCCUCCUAAAUAUAAAAGAAUUGUCAUUACAUCUUUCAGAGCCUGAUUUUAAUCUCUCUGCUGAGAAAUUCUGCAACUGUGUAAGCCUCAGGACCCAAGCAGUGUCGCUACAUCGACACUUAGUAUGAUCCUACAUGCGGGAUUCUCCAUCUUCUCUAAAUCUAAAUAUGGAAUGCAAAAUCUGGUUUUCCUACUUUUUCUCCCCUAUUUUUUUCAGAGAAAUUGGGAACAUUUUGCAUUUUUAACUAAAGUACUGUUGUUGCAAGCUAUCAUUAAUCUAUUGGGGAAGUGAUUUAGCUGCAAGGAAACCCUGCCUCCAAUUUCCCAAAGGUAAACAGGCACUUUGUAUCUCCUAGAAUAAAGAAAUGGGGUGGUCAACAUGGAAAACUUUGGAGGUAAAUAGGUUGUAGCUUCUGAAGGACAGGUUAGGAGGCAAAAAGAACAAAGAUCUGUAUGAGAAGGAUUCUCUGUAGGGAAAGAACUUUACUGUGAGCCUAACAUUUUGUUGUCAAUUUUUCUUUUUUUGGACCAUAAAUAGUAUAUUUUUCUUACUGAGUUUGUGGGAGACUGCAGUGAUAUCAAUGUCCGUGGUACUGGAUAAUUAACACAGUAUUAAAAUCCACCAGGAAGAAACCCUCAGAGAGAAGAAAAGAACUGGCUUCAUUCAUGAAGCUGGCUAAAAAAUAUAAGCUAAGAUUAUAGCUGUGUUACAUUGGCCAUCUAAAUACCUUACUGUAUUUUAUUUUAUUAUAGGCCAUUGCUCUAGAUUAUGAGCUGAGCCUAAAAGUAGCACAGAGAAGUAUAUGGAAAAAUGGUGCUUCUAAAGCUCUGCCUUUUUUUUUUUUUUUGUAAUGAUAAUGUUCUUACAGAAAUUAAUAUGCUAGUGAUUACACUUUGUAUUGUACUUUAUCAGAUAAAACAUGACUAGGGAGUCUGCUCUCCAUGGGAAAUUUUUCCUGAAGCUUAAAGUAAAGAGAAAUAAAUGAUGUUAUUACCAAUAUUCAAGCUGGAUUUGAUUCCUUACCCUAAUUUCUGGUAACCUAGCAGAACUUAAACUUGUUUGCUAUUUUAAGCUGACUGAUGGAACUGGGAGAAAACAAAGUCAAUUGACUUGGCACUCAUUUACUAUAAAAGUUUGUCAGCUUGUGUUUGCUGUAGGGUUUUUGUUUUUUUGUUGGUGGUUGGUUGGUUUUCAGUUAAACACAAAAUACAUGGGACAUGAUUGCAUCAAAUGUGGCUAUCAUAUGAAAAUGCAGGAUAAGUUCAGUGGUGCAAUUUGUUGAAACAUCAUGCAGAGCAUGAUCUUAUUGCCUGUUACUAGUCUGCUCAGAGAGGGCAGCAAAGUAUUGCAGAUCUGGAAUCCAAGAGAACCUAAGCUCUGAGGUGUAAUACUGAGGAAGAAAUGUAACUUAUUAAUGUACAAGGUAUGAAAGGAGAAACCGGGAGGCAAUCAGAUAAUAACUACCUAAACACAUGUAAAAUUUUGGUCCUUUUAAGCUGUGGGUGUUUGCUGGCACUGAAGACGUUAUUAAGAGAAAUAGAUUAAUCAGUAUAGAUUUAGACAUCCUGAUAGCUGUGAACAGAAGCAUCCCUGCAGAAAGGCAAUAGUUCAAGAGUUAAGGAUUUGUCCCAAACUGUAACUGUGUGUGACUCAUUUGGCAUAAAGAGAAAUGUUUGAAGUUUACAUAUACAAUGAAGAAAACAGUACAAUGGAUUUGCAGCAUGAGAGAUGGAUGACUGUUUCUAUUAGGUAUUCUCAUUACACCUUGAGAUUUUCAUAUUCUUACAAGCUUGGCUGUUUCUCCUCUGUUUUUUAUACAUGAAGAUACAACCAGAGUCUAGAUGAAAUGGUUCAGGCGCUACCCCCUCUUCUUGCUCUUUUGACUGAAAACAGAAUAUAUUUCCUGGGCAUUGUAGGCAACUCUUCCCUAGGCAACCCUUUAAAAUGAUGUUCAUGGAGAAAUUAGUGAUAUGA